rnacentral:tRNA from 1 species
GGUAGCAUGGUUCAAGGGGUAGAACACCUGCCUGGCAAGCAUGAGGUCCUGAGUUCAAUCUUAAGUGCUGUCA